UACAGAGGUCUCAAGCGUUGUUCGGAUUCAUUGGGCGUAAAGGGUGCGUAGGCGGCGUGGUAAGUCGGAUGUGAAAUCUCGGAGCUUAACUCCGAAACUGCAUUCGAUACUGCCGUGCUUGAGGACUGGAGAGGAGACGUGGAAUUUACGGUGUAGCGGUGAAAUGCGUAGAUAUCGUAAGGAAGACCAGUGGCGAAGGCGGGUCUCUGGACGAGU
rnacentral:rRNA from 1 species